rnacentral:tRNA from 1 species
AGAGGGAUGGCAGAGUGGUCGAAUGCGGCGGUCUUGAAAACCGUUGACUGUCAAAGGUCCGGGGGUUCGAAUCCCUCUCCCUCUG